GCUUAAUUAUAUAGAUUGUUUUUAAUCAUUUGAAUUAGCAUAUUGAUCCAUUUUGAUUUUUAGCUUGGGCCCAAUAGCUGAUAGCCCAGUAUAAUUAUUUGUAAUUGAUUCCUGGUCAGCCACGUUUCUUCAUUUCAUCAGCCACACAUUUACGCUUCAUUCUCAACCAUUACCUCCAAAUUCUUGAGCAGCACGUAUUAACCCAGUAUAUAUAUCUCAUCUAUUUCACUGCAUUUACCCAACAAAUCCAACAAAAAUUCAGUCUUUUAUAAUUCAUCCUGGUUCUUCCUACUGCAGAAAUCUCAAUGGUCCUACAGAAGAGGAUAUUUAGGCUCUUGAUCAGCUGAGUUAUAUUGUUUGAAUUUUCUCCAAAUCAGGUGAGGCUUUAUUUACGAAAUGUAUGUUUGAGCUAAUAAGCUCGGUUUUAUGUAAAGUUAAAGUUGAUAGUUCAUGCUUAAAAUGUUUUUGCUCUCUAUUGGUUAUUGCUUCUACCAGAACAUUGUUGGCUCCGCCAACCAGAACAUUGUUAGCUCUGCUAACCAGAAUUGUGUACGUACACCAGAACCUGUUGUCUCGAGAGAUCGGUGACAACCAGUUGUAGAUAGCAUGCCCAAUAGAUGGCCAGGAAAAUAUGAGCUCAGAUUAUUUUAGUAUGCAUGGAAUGACUCAUCUUUAAAAACAUUCUGUGUUAUACUGUUUAAGGCAUGGAUUAUCUUUUUCAGUAAAUGAUUUUUUUUAAAAUGUUUUUAAAUGGCUCAACCCACUGAGUACACUAGUACUCAGCCCUGCAAUUGUUUUCAAAACCUUUUGCAGAUUGAGCAGCUGGUGGUGACGUGCGAGGCUGAGGAAAGAUUGUUGCUGUAAUAUUGAAGAACACUCUGUUUUACUUCCGCUGAAAUAAAUUCACUUGGUGAAUAUAAUCUUAUGUCUAACUAUACUUUAAAUUGUUUUAAUCUGGAUUCCAUUUUCCAUCGUUUUCCCAAGUGAUUGUUAUUCUGCAUAUAUAUAUUAUAUGCCUAAUAUGAAAUGUUAUUUUGGGCUCAGACCUUCGAACUUUCGAUCCUGAUAGGGAGAACAAUUACAUCAUAAUGUCAUGCUUAUUACCUUUGGAAUAUGACAUAUUUUUCAAUUGAUGAAAUGAUGCCCGGCUCUAUUGGCCUAUUACCCAUUUAAUUCAAAUAAAGUUUAGUAGUUUCGUCACAUAGCCCAUUUCUUAUUCUCCCGGGAAAUCAGGGCUGUCACAAAUGGUAUCAGAGCAAAUGUUCUUGGCUCUGAGACCGCUAUUUCAUUGAUGUUGAGUCAUAGCAUCUCUAGACUUCUAAGCUACAUAGCAACCCUCAGCUCGCCUUCACACCGCUCUCAAGAAAGAAAGGUACGUGAUUUUAACAAAUUUUACUUAAAGUGCGUACAAGUAUUUAUAGUGGUUUUAAAAGCAAGAGUUCUUGUUAAAAGAAAAUAUUUCAGUUGUUGUAUUAUUUUACAACUAGAUUCCCAGAAAAAUGUCAUUUCGAGUUUUAGCUUGAAUAACUAGAAAAGUUUGUCAUGUUUUUAUGACCAGAAAGAUUGUCAUAUAUAUGUAUAUGACCAGAAAGUUUGUCAUGACCAGAAAGAUUUGUCAUUUAUAUGACCAGAAAGAUUGUCAUGACCAGAAAGAUUUGUCAUAUUCAUGACCAGAAAGUUGUCAUAUUUUUAUGACCAGUAUUUGAGCCUUGACUCCAGAAUCAGUUAUAUGUUACAGGCAGAACAGUCAGUGAAAUUGUCAUAAUGAUUUUACGUAUUUAUGACAAGCAGUUAUUAAUAGGCAGACCUAGUUUUUGCCUCAGUUAUCGGUUCAUAAAGGUGUUAUUUUCUCGCAGUUAGAGAAAUACACUAGAUAGUAACACGAGAAUCUUAUGAGAUACACUGCUAGCAUGAAAUGCUAUAGAAGAAUCAAGAAAAAAUUAGAGUGCUCAACGGAAGCACGUAAACUUAGAAUGCUUGAAUAGAAAGAUAGAACGAAGGAAGACAGAACAUAGAAAGACAUCAUACGAAGAGAUAGAACGUAGAAGUUUAGAAUUUAGAAAGAUAGAUCAUGGAAAGACAAAAGAGAAGAACAAGACACAAAUGAAUGAGCCGAAGAUAAGUGGAAUGAUGCAUGAAUGGUUUCACGCAUUCUACAAGUAUGGAAGACUCAAGGACUUCACAAAGAACGUUUGACAUGUGCUAUCUUUCAACUAACGGACGAGGCCGAUUAUCGGAGGGAAUCAGUGCAGAGGACUUUAGCGCCACGACAAUGGGAAGGGUAUACGUAGGAAAAUUUCAAAGAAGAGUUGUACGAGAAGUAUAUUACUCAGAGUUAUCGAAUCAAGAAAUAAUCGGAAUUCUGGAAUCUUCAACAAGAGAAUAAAUCUGUCACUGAGUACGAUAGAUUGUUCGUCCAGUUAUCACGCUACGCUCCACAUUUGGUGGAUUCGGAGGAGAAAAGAUCCGAGAAGUUCAGGCGAGGUCUACAACAUGAGAUACGAGUGCCCCUGGCUAGUCAAGGAAUACUAACCUAUGCUCAAUCUUUGAGCAGAGCUCGAGUUAUUGAAGCUAUGAUGGCAGAAGAAAUGAAAACACCUAUUCAUGCCCCUGACAAUAAGCGUGCAAACAACAAUAACAAACGUAAAAGAGCAUGGCAAGGAACUGAUAAUCAAAUGCAGCAAAACCAACAAGAAGAGCGAAAUGACCAGCAACAAGAACGUUUUGCCAUAAUUGCCACAAAAAUCACUUCGGAGUUUGCAAAGCUGGGAGCGGCGCUUGCUACAAGUGUGGAGAAAAGGGUCACUUUGCUCGACAAUGCCCAGAAACACCACAAGGACGUCAGAAUAAUGGAAGAAAUCGAGGCCAGAGGCCACUUCAAAUAGCAAGAGCAUAUGCACUUAAUUAGCAGCAAGAAGCUCAGGCACCAGAAGACGUAGAAGGUACGACCAUAUAGAAUUGACGUACUUGAAUAAGUUGAAGUUCGUAGUUAUAGAAAGUAUUUAUCCUUCGGCAUGAUAGUCAGAAUUAGAAAAGCAAGCAUAUUGUUUUAGUAGAAUCACUAUGAAGCAGAAUGAGUAUAUGAUAGCUACGAGCUGAGAAUGACACUUAGAAGUUCGAAAUUUCGAGGACGAAAUUUUUUUUAAGGAGGGAGGGUUGUAAUACCCCGAAUUUUCUUUAAUAUGAUUUUAGAAGAAUUACUGAGUUUAGAAAUACAUCGAUUCGCACCCCGGAGAAAAAUUGUUUUAAUUCCAACAAUUAUUGGUUGAAGUUUAAAGCAAAUUGAGCUUAAUUAUAUAGAUUGUUUUUAAUCAUUUGAAUUAGCAUAUUGAUCCAUUUUGAUUUUUAGCUUGGGCCCAAUAGCUGAUAGCCCAGUAUAAUUAUUUGUAAUUGAUUCCUGGUCAGCCACGUUUCUUCAUUUCAUCAGCCACACAUUUACGCUUCAUUCUCAACCAUUACCUCCAAAUUCUUGAGCAGCACGUAUUAACCCAGUAUAUAUAUCUCAUCUAUUUCACUGCAUUUACCCAACAAAUCCAACAAAAAUUCAGUCUUUUAUAAUUCAUCCUGGUUCUUCCUACUGCAGAAAUCUCAAUGGUAAUUUUAGUUAUUUUGUAAAGCUUUAUUCACAAUUUCUUCAUUAUUUUCAUAUCUGCAUCAAAAACCAAAAACUCCCACAAAUUCUGUUUCUUUUCUUUACACUGCAUAAUGAAUCAUUUUCAUCUCAUCUGUAAUUCAUAAGAAAUUGGAAUAGAAUGCAUAUUCACUGAUUUUUUUUACAAGAAAGAAACUCAGAUUUAGAAAUCUAGAUGGACAAAAGGGAAAAUUGAUGAAGUUUGGGGGAGGGAUUGCUCGCCGGAGCAACGACGCCGCUGCGUGUGCAGGGGCGGCGGCGAAGAGAAGCAGGGGCGGCGGCGGCGCUAUCGUGUUGACUGCUGCUGUGAGUUUCCGGUCGCGACAGAAGGAGGAGAUGACUGUGCUGCGCUGCUGUCGACGCGAGGGCGGCGAUGGUGGCUGCUGCUGUUGUCAGCGAGAAGGAGGUAAGGGCGGUGGUGGUGGUGCUGGCAGGCGACGAAGGGUCGUCGGAGAAGGGGAAGAUGGGGCCGCGGCUGGUGCAGCGAGGACAGGGGCAGGGAGGAGGGUGAGAGUGAGGGGUGAGAGGGAGAUAAGAAGAAGGGGAAGAGAAAGGAGGCCAGAGCCGCCGGCCUCCGGCGACUGGCUGCCGUCUGGUGGCAGCGGCAGGAAGAACGAGGGAGGGAGAGAGCAGCAGAGAGAGUGAAGGUGUAGGGCUGCGUAUGUGUUGUGUUGUGUUGUGAUGUAAUUGGGGUUUUAAAUUAGGAUAAAAGGGAAGAUGGGCUUGGGCCUAGGUUGAUCUAUUAAUGGGCUCAGAUUAAUUAAGUAAUUGGGCUUCAUGCAUAUACUUCUAUUGGGCUGCAUGUUUAUUUGUUUGGUUAUAUGUUUUUAUUAUAAGUUAAAGUCUUACAAAUGUUUGUAAGCAAAAUAUUUUUAAGUUGAUUUUAUGCUCAAGAUGAGUUUUUAUGUAAAAGCCGAGCAAGGGUAUUAUUGAUGAUUUUUAAGUUAUAUGUUGAAAUUUUGAAAACCCGGGUGUUGCGAAUCUAGUUAGAAAAUUUUGACAAGUCAUGAAUGUUAAGCUUGAUUUUAGGACUAUGAGUUUAAGUUGAGAACUUAUCUUGUAGGUCCUACAGAAGAGGAUAUUUAGGCUCUUGAUCAGCUGAGUUAUAUUGUUUGAAUUUUCUCCAAAUCAGGUGAGGCUUUAUUUACGAAAUGUAUGUUUGAGCUAAUAAGCUCGGUUUUAUGUAAAGUUAAAGUUGAUAGUUCAUGCUUAAAAUGUUUUUGCUCUCUAUUGGUUAUUGCUUCUACCAGAACAUUGUUGGCUCCGCCAACCAGAACAUUGUUAGCUCUGCUAACCAGAAUUGUGUACGUACACCAGAACCUGUUGUCUCGAGAGAUCGGUGACAACCAGUUGUAGAUAGCAUGCCCAAUAGAUGGCCAGGAAAAUAUGAGCUCAGAUUAUUUUAGUAUGCAUGGAAUGACUCAUCUUUAAAAACAUUCUGUGUUAUACUGUUUAAGGCAUGGAUUAUCUUUUUCAGUAAAUGAUUUUUUUUAAAAUGUUUUUAAAUGGCUCAACCCACUGAGUACACUAGUACUCAGCCCUGCAAUUGUUUUCAAAACCUUUUGCAGAUUGAGCAGCUGGUGGUGACGUGCGAGGCUGAGGAAAGAUUGUUGCUGUAAUAUUGAAGAACACUCUGUUUUACUUCCGCUGAAAUAAAUUCACUUGGUGAAUAUAAUCUUAUGUCUAACUAUACUUUAAAUUGUUUUAAUCUGGAUUCCAUUUUCCAUCGUUUUCCCAAGUGAUUGUUAUUCUGCAUAUAUAUAUUAUAUGCCUAAUAUGAAAUGUUAUUUUGGGCUCAGACCUUCGAACUUUCGAUCCUGAUAGGGAGAACAAUUACAUCAUAAUGUCAUGCUUAUUACCUUUGGAAUAUGACAUAUUUUUCAAUU